CCUACGGGAGGCAGCAGUGAGGAAUAUUGGUCAAUGGACGAGAGUCUGAACCAGCCAAGUAGCGUGAAGGAUGACUGCCCUAUGGGUUGUAAACUUCUUUUAUAUGGGAAUAACAUGUUCCACGUGUGGGAUUUUGUAUGUACCAUAUGAAUAAGGAUCGGCUAACUCCGUGCCAGCAGCCGCGGUAAUACGGAGGAUCCGAGCGUUAUCCGGAUUUAUUGGGUUUAAAGGGAGCGUAGGUGGAUUGUUAAGUCAGUUGUGAAAGUUUGCGGCUCAACCGGUAAAUUGCAGUUGAAACUGGCAGUCUUGAGUACAGUAGAGGUGGGCGGAAUUCGUGGUGUAGCGGUGAAAUGCUUAGAUAUCACGAAGAACUCCGAUUGCGAAGGCAGUUCACUGGACUGCAACUGACACUGAGGCUCGAAAGUGUGGGUAUCAAACAGGAUUAGAUACCCGUGUAGUC
rnacentral:rRNA from 1 species